rnacentral:rRNA from 1 species
AACGAACGCUGGCGGCAUGCCUAACACAUGCAAGUCGAACGAGACCUUCGGGUCUAGUGGCGCACGGGUGCGUAACGCGUGGGAACCUGCCCUUAGGUUCGGAAUAACUCCCCGAAAGGGGUGCUAAUACCGGAUAAUGUCUUCGGACCAAAGAUUUAUCGCCUUUGGAUGGGCCCGCGUUGGUUUAGCUAGUUGGUAGGGUAAAAGCCUACCAAGGCGACGAUCCAUAGCUGGUCUGAGAGGAUGAUCAGCCACGCUGGGACUGAGACACGGCCCAGACUCCUACGGGAGGCAGCAGUGGGGAAUAUUGGACAAUGGGCGAAAGCCUGAUCCAGCAAUGCCGCGUGAGUGAUGAAGGCCUUAGGGUUGUAAAGCUCUUUUACCCGGGAUGAUAAUGACAGUACCGGGAGAAUAAGCUCCGGCUAACUCCGUG